UCAGGCUUAGAAAAUCAUCAGAGAUUGAAUAAGCUGAUUGACUUGAUAUUUGGUUAAUUCUCUGAGUGUAGGAUUCUUCUCCAUUGAAAAGCCUGGAAAGAGAAAUAGAGUGUAGAAAUACAUAUAUUAGCAAAUUAUUUUAAAUAUAUUUAUUCAUCCAUCAAUAUAAUGAUUGAACAAAAGUCUCCAAAAGAAAAAGAGUAAAGAUGCAUUAGAUACUUGUUUCUAAGCUGAACAGCAUCUGCAACAUCUGGAUUGAUUAACAAUUUUGUCCCAAAGCAAGCAUUUGAUAUCUUUACCUCUCCU
rnacentral:lncRNA from 1 species